rnacentral:tRNA from 1 species
AGGAAAUUAGUGUUAUAAGCACAUGUUUUUGUCAAAAUCAAAGUUUAGUUCCUC